rnacentral:sRNA from 1 species
UGUCUGUAGUUUGACUGUGACCGGCGGC